GGGAUCGGCCUAAAAAUCUAUGCCCACAGGAAUGAUCUAGGUCCAACUCAAUGGACGAACAGCUGAGCUUCCUUUCUUGGCUCCUCAGAGGACUUUCAGCUUUCUCAAUGGAUGUUCUCUAAAGGAGAAACAUGACAUCCAAACCAAGAAGAUAAGCAACCAGGAAAGGAGGAGUUUUGGGGAACAGACAGAAGGAGGUCUCCUGACAAAGAUGCCUUUUGAAGAACAGAAUUUGAGAAACAUUAAAAUGCAUGUACAUUCCAUGAGCUUAUUAACAAAGACAAAGAGAUACAUCUAAACAUUUAUCAGCUGAAGUCGGCUACUACUCUAAAGGGCAAGCAGAAAACCAGUGGCUGGAAGGAUAUGUCACGGAGUUCUUUGAAGAGGUCAAGAAUCUGGGAACACUCAGCCCUAGCCCUCAGUCCUAACUACCAGCAAAACCUGGCCUCAAGUAGAAGGCAGAGCAACAGAAUCUUAGGAAUCAAAACACUGAAGGCAUCCCAGAAGACAGAAGAGGCUUUCAGAUCUUCUGGAAUCCUGUGUCAUCAGACGUGGGUGUUGGGACUUGAACCCUGGUCUUCUAAAAGAACAGCAAGUGCUCUGAGCUGAUGAGCCAUCUCUCCACCCCAAACUUUAAAGUACUGAGUAAAAAUAAAACUUUGAGUAAAAAUAAACUUUUAGUGAUAAAAUU